CCUACGGGAGGCAGCAGUGAGGAAUAUUGGUCAAUGGACGCAAGUCUGAACCAGCCAUGCCGCGUGAGGGAAGAAGGUUUUCGGAUUGUAAACCACUGUUCGCGGUGGAGAUAAUGACGGUAACCAAGGAGAAAGCUCCGGCUAACUACUGGCCAGCAGCCGCGGUAAUACGGAGGGAGCAAGCGUUUUCCGGAGUUAAUGGGAGUAACGGGUGCGGAGGCGGUAUUGCCAGUGAGACGUGAAAGUCACAGGCUCAACCUGUGGAAUGCGUGUGAAACUGUGGGGCGUGAGUGAAGGAGAGGUAGGCGGAAUUCCAGGUGUAGCGGUGAAAUGCGUAGAGAUCGGGAGGAACACCAGUGGCGAAGGCGGCCUACUGGGCUUUAACUGACGCUGAGGCACGAAAGCAUGGGUAGCAAACAGGAUUAGAUACCCCAGUAGUC
rnacentral:rRNA from 1 species